UGAAAAAAAUUCGGCUUCCUUUUUCUGUUGGUUGGACAUUUUUGGUUUGAGAAAUUUUCAAAGGGUUGAGUUCUUCUUUAGUUGAAAAUUUCAAAAAGGGAGAACUGGGGGUUGAGGAAAAAAUCUUGAAAACAAUUUGGUUCUCUUUUGUUUCGGUUUCACUAUAGGAAAUUUUGGAGUUUAAAACUCAGUUGGGACUUGGGUCGGGAAAUUUAGGUUUAGAGAUAAACGCAGGAGGCAGAUAAGAAAUCGAAAGAUAACCUUCGGUUGCGUUCUUAGUGUGCUCAGCCGCGAUAUUCCGGCGAAGUGUCUCAACCGUUGUUCUUGCUUGAUUUUCGGUGUGGAAACUCG
rnacentral:misc_RNA from 1 species